UACAGAGGGUGCGAGCGUUGUUCGGAAUUAUUGGGCGUAAAGGGCGCGUAGGCGGUGCGGUAAGUCACCUGUGAAAUCUCCUGGCUCAACUGGGAGUCUGCAGGCGAAACUGCCGUGCUGGAGUGUGGGAGAGGUGAGUGGAAUUCCCGGUGUAGCGGUGAAAUGCGUAGAUAUCGGGAAGGAACACCUAUGGCGAAAGCGGCUCACUGGACCACAACUGACGCUGAGGCGCGAAAGCUAGGGGAGCAAACAGG
rnacentral:rRNA from 1 species